UACGGGGGGGGCAAGCGUUGUUCGGAAUUACUGGGCGUAAAGGGCGCGUAGGCGGCCGGACAAAGUCGAGCGUUAAAUUCCAGGGCUUAACCCUGGGCUGUUGCUCGAUACUAGUCGGCUAGAGUGUGGAAGAGGGUGCUGGAAUUCCCGGUGUAGCGGUGAAAUGCGUAGAUAUCAAGAGGAACACCUGCGGCGAAGGCGGGUUGCUGGGCCGACACUGACGCUGAGGCGCGAAAGCCAGGGGAGCGAACGGG
rnacentral:rRNA from 1 species